rnacentral:ncRNA from 1 species
CAAAGGUUUGGUCCUAACUUUACUAUCAACUUUAACUAAAUUUACACAUGCAAGUAUCCGCACCCCUGUGAGAAUGCCCUAACAGUUCCCUAUUUGGAAACAAGGAGCUGGUAUCAGGCUCAUCCUAUUAGCCCACAACACCUUGCUUAGCCACACCCUCAAGGGAAUUCAGCAGUGAUAAACAUUAAGCCAUAAGUGAAAACUUGACUUAGUUAAAGUUAAAAGAGCCGGUAAAACUCGUGCCAGCCACCGCGGUUAAACGAGAGGCCCAAGUUGAUAGAACUCGGCGUAAAGAGUGGUUAAAAGAUAAAUAUACUAAGACUAAAGACUUUUAGUACUGUCAUACGUAUUCAAAAAUAAGAAGCCCAACUACGAAAGUGGUCUUAAACAAACUCUGAAUCCACGAAAGCUACGAAACAAACUGGGAUUAGAUACCCCACUAUGCAUAGCCGUAAACAUUGAUAUUUAAUACAUCUAUUAUCCGCCUGGGUACUACGAGCAUUAGCUUAAAACCCAAAGGACUUGGCGGUGCUUUAAACCCACCUAGAGGAGCCUGUUCUAUAACCGAUAAUCCCCGUCUAACCUCACCUUUCCUUGUUUCACCCGCCUAUAUACCGCCGUCGUCAGCUUACCCUGUGAAGGACUAAUAGUAAGCAAAAUUAGUAUAACCCAGAACGUCAGGUCGAGGUGUAGCGCAUGGAAAGGGAAGAAAUGGGCUACAUUCCCUUUGCUAAGGGAAUACGAACACUGUACUGAAACGUACAUCUGAAGGAGGAUUUAGCAGUAAGUAGAAAAUAGAGUGUUCUACUGAAAUUGGCCCUAAAGCGCGCACACACCGCCCGUCACUCUCCCCAACCCUACUUUUAAACUCAGAUAAUUAAUUCGUCUUAUUUACAAGGGGAGACAAGUCGUAACAUGGUAAGUGUACCGGAAGGUGUACUUGGUAUAAU